CAUAGAAUCUGUGGGGAAAGAAUACGAUGCGUGGAAUAAUGAGCAGCAGGGCAUUCGGCCUGUAACUUGCAAAGAGAGGUAGAGAUCCUCGUUCCGGUCCAGCUCCACAUUCUAGCUCUUAAUCCCUUCUCUUAACAUGUAUAGACCCAGAAUUUAAUCGAGCAGCUGACCAAUUACGCAAGUUUUUAGUUCUGGGUUAACCGAGAUUAAACAUUCAUUCAAUUCCUCAACAUUUUCCAAGGAUUAAUUGUGUUGCCCAUAAAGCAAACCGCACACACAUACAGAGUUCUUCAAUCUUUAUCAGCCUAAUGACUUAGUGAAUGACAGUGUCAUCGGAUGUGGCAUUUCACCCUGCACUGACUGUGUUGACGCUCUAAUCGUUCUCAUGACCUGCCCCUCACGGUGGUUCUGAUAGCUUGGGCACACACACGCACGCACGCACGCACGCACGCACGCACACAUACACACACACACACACACACACACACACACACCUGCCUCAAUUACCCUGGCAUUACUGCUGCUCUCCCCAUUAUUGAGCUGGCUUCUUAAUUAUCCCUAACUCGUUAGCAUGCAGCCGCACGCUCCUGAGGAACGCAGCGAGAGGACGCUGGCCUUUUUAAUUAAAGUGGAGUAGUUGUUUUUUACGUGAGAGAUAAACGUGUUAUUGGCAAUUACGCAAAAGGAAUUUAAAAAAAGUAGUACAGGACGGGACAUAAUGCUUCUGAUUGUUGGAAAGGGGACAUAAUGCUUCUGAUUGUUGAUUUGUGCAAAUCUUUCUAAAACUGAAAAUGGACAAUUUAAAGGAUAUCAAAUCAACAAAGAGGUUUACAGACGAGGAGGCAUACAAAGGUAUGUCAAUUGGUAUUGGUAUGUAAUGCAGAUCACAUUUACCAUCCUCCUCCCUUUCCUCUUCAAUGAAUAUCCCAUAGGCCUCUACAUUAUGGACAAGGUAUGUGUAUGAAAACCAUUAUCAAAACAGUUUUAUUUAUUUACCACAAAAAACAGGGUAUAAAUACUGUCGUGUGCAUAUUUUGUUAAUCAUCUGUAUAAUUACUAUUUGGUGGGAUUCACAGACUUCACCCUCCCUACACCUCUGAUG
rnacentral:lncRNA from 13 species